rnacentral:rRNA from 1 species
CCCUUAGAGUUUGAUCCUGGCUCAGAAUGAACGUUGGCGGCGUGGAUUAGGCAUGCAAGUCGAACGGGUCCGGCUUCGGCCGGGCCAGUGGCGGAAGGGUGAGUAAGGCGACGGCAACCAACCCCGAGGUUGGGUAUAGCCGCGGGAAACUGCGGGUAAUCCCCAGCGACGUGACGACGCCGACAUCGGCGUUUCACCAAAGGCGCGAGCCGCCUUGGGACGGGCCGUCGUGGUAUUAGGUAGUUGGCGGGGUAACGGCCCACCAAGCCGAUGAUGCCUACCGGGCGUGCGAGCGUGGCCCGGCACACUGGGACUGAGACACUGCCCAGACUCUUACGGGAGGCUGCAGUCGAGAAUCUUCGGCAAUGGGCGCAAGCCUGACCGAGCGACGCCGCGUGGAGGAUGAAGGCCUUCGGGUUGUA